rnacentral:rRNA from 1 species
GACGAACGCUGGCGGCGUGCUUAACACAUGCAAGUCGAACGGAAAGGCCCUGCUUUUGUGGGGUGCUCGAGUGGCGAACGGGUUAGUAACACGUGAGUAACCUGCCCUUGACUUUGGGAUAACUUCAGGAAACUGGGGCUAAUACCGGAUAGGAGCUCCUGCUGCAUGGUGGGGGUUGGAAAGUUUCGGCGGUUGGGGAUGGACUCGCGGCUUAUCAGCUUGUUGGUGGGGUAGUGGCUUACCAAGGCUUUGACGGGUAGCCGGCCUGAGAGGGUGACCGGCCACAGUGGGACUGAGAUACGGACCAGACUCCUACGGGAGGCAGCAGUGGGGAAUAUUGCACAAUGGGCGGAAGCCUGAUGCAGCAACGCCGCGUGCGGGAUGACGGCCUUCGGGUUGUAAACCGCUUUCGCCUGUGACGAAGCGUGAGUGACGGUAAUGGGUAAAGAAGCACCGGCUAACUACGUG